rnacentral:rRNA from 1 species
UACGUAGGGUGCGAGCGUUGUCCGGAAUUACUGGGCGUAAAGAGCUCGUAGGCGGAAUGGCAAGUCGGUCGUGAAAUCCUUCGGCUCAACCGAAGAACGUCGAUCGAAACUGCCGUUCUUGAGGAUUGCAGAGGAGACUGGAAUUCCCGGUGUAGCGGUGAAAUGUGUAGAGAUCGGGAGGAACACCGGUGGCGAAGGCGGGUCUCUGGGCAAUUCCUGACGCUGAGGCGCGAAAGCGUGGGGAGCAAACGGG